GACGAACGCUGGCGGCGUGCUUAACACAUGCAAGUCGAACGAUGUAGAAGAGAAACGCGAACUUCGGUUCAAAUUUCACUUCGGAUUAGUGGCAGACGGGUGAGUAACGCGUGAGCAACCUACCUCUUACAAAGGGAUAGCCUCGGGAAACCGUGAUUAAUACCAUAUGACACAUUCAUAAGGCAUCUUAAGAAUGUUAAAGCUACGGCGGUAAGAGAUGGGCUCGCGUCCCAUUAGCUAGUUGGUGAGGUAACGGCCCACCAAGGCGACGAUGGGUAACCGGCCUGAGAGGGUGAACGGUCACAUUGGAACUGAGACACGGUCCAAACUCCUACGGGAGGCAGCAGUGGGGAAUAUUGCACAAUGGAGGGAACUCUGAUGCAGCGACGCCGCGUGAGCGAUGAAGGAAUUCGUUUCGUAAAGCUCUGUUCUAUGGGAAGAAAAGGACUGUACCAUAGGAGAAAGCCCCGGCUAAAUACGUG
rnacentral:rRNA from 1 species